UACGGAGGGUGCAAGCGUUAUCCGGAUUUACUGGGUUUAAAGGGUGCGUAGGUGGACCUUUAAGUCAGUGGUGAAAUCUCCGGGCUUAACCCGGAAACUGCCAUUGAUACUAUCGGUCUUGAAUACUUUGGAGGUAAGCGGAAUAUGUCAUGUAGCGGUGAAAUGCUUAGAUAUGACAUAGAACACCAAUUGCGAAGGCAGCUCACUACACAAAUAUUGACGCUGAGGCACGAAAGCGUGGGGAUCAAACAGG
rnacentral:rRNA from 1 species